rnacentral:rRNA from 1 species
GUAGGUGGCAAGCGUUGUCCGGAAUUAUUGGGCGUAAAGCGCGCGCAGGCGGUUCUUUAAGUCUGAUGUGAAAGCCCACGGCUCAACCGUGGAGGGUCAUUGGAAACUGGAGAACUUGAGUACAGAAGAGGAAAGCGGAAUUCCACGUGUAGCGGUGAAAUGCGUAGAGAUGUGGAGGAACACCAGUGGCGAAGGCGGCUUUCUGGUCUGUAACUGACGCUGAGGCGCGAAAGCGUGGGGAGCAAACAGGGAUUAGAUACCCUGGUAGUCCACGCCGUAAACGAUGAGUGCUAAGUGUUAGGGAGUUUCCGCCCCCCUUAGUGCUGCAGCUAACGCAUUAAGCACUCCGCCUGGGAGUACGGCCGCAAGGCUG